AGUGAACGCUGGCGGUAGGCCUAACACAUGCAAGUCGAACGGCAGCACAGUAAGAGCUUGCUCUUACGGGUGGCGAGUGGCGGACGGGUGAGGAAUACAUCGGAAUCUACUUUUUCGUGGGGGAUAACGUAGGGAAACUUACGCUAAUACCGCAUACGACCUACGGGUGAAAGCAGGGGAUCUUCGGACCUUGCGCGAUUGAAUGAGCCGAUGUCGGAUUAGCUAGUUGGCGGGGUAAAGGCCCACCAAGGCGACGAUCCGUAGCUGGUCUGAGAGGAUGAGCAGCAACACUGGAACUGAGACACGGUCCAGACUCCUACGGGAGGAAGCAGUGGGGAAUAUUGGACAAUGGGCGCAAGCCUGAUCCAGCCAUACCGCGUGGGUGAAGAAGGCCUUCGGGUUGUAAAGCCCUUUUGUUGGGAAAGAAAAGCAGCAGGUUAAUACCCCGCUGUUCUGACGGUACCCAAAGAAUAAGCACCGGCUAACUUCGUG
rnacentral:rRNA from 1 species